GCUGAUGUUGCAAUGGUUAAGUGCUUGGCUGUUAACCAAAAGAUCAGUGGUUCAAAUCCACCAACAGCU
rnacentral:tRNA from 1 species